AGAAGAUAAACAUUCUUUAAAAGGAAAGGGGUCCCAUGAGGGAACCUUCCAGGAAGAUGCCAAGGGACCUUUUUGUUUUCAUUUUUUUUAUAUACAUAUAGGGGACCAUUUUUAUUUUUUAGGAGGAUCUUCACACAAAAAAACAUAGGCAGAGACCAUGGUUUCUGCUCUUCCUCAGGUCACAUACCCACAGCUCCAUUUUUCUCCAUUCUUUUUGCUUCAUUUUUGAGCACACACACCGAUACACUAUCGUAUACACGCAUACACAUAGCUCCAAGGCACGAAUCACAACACACACACACACUGUUUCACCUCAAAAAUCAAACAUACACGCACACUCAAUAAGUAGAAAAGGACGAAAUCCGAUCGGCGAUUGGCUGUUCUAGUCGUCUACAUCACCGGCGACUCAUCGGAGUUCGAACCGUACAGGUGUUCAAUUUUUUGUUGGAUUUUAGCGAUCUUUUGGGUUCAGCUAUUGUGGGGUUUCGUUGUCGAUAUAGUGAUUGUACGGAGUUUUUGAGACUAAGUCGAGUCAUUAUUUGGUUUGGAUUUCAUAUCGUUAUUUUUCUUAUUGGCUUGAAAUCUGUUCGGAGGUCGUUUUCCUAUACCGAGUUGAGAUUCCAUCGCUGUUGAGGCUUUCUAUUCGGGCUCUCGGAUUUGGAUUUCUUUAAAUUCAAUAUUAUCUACAAAAUCGAUUCUUUGAAGGUGAAUGAUUGGUAUGCUUAAAUAUUUGAAUCCUCGCUUGGGUAUGUAUUUAAUAUUGAUUUUGGAUUUUAAAGAAGUAAUUUGAUAGUCGAAUUGGUUGUUUGGGAUAAGGACCAAAAAUUGAUAAUCGAACAAGUCGAAGGAUGUUUAUUUUGAUUCAUUACUGAAUAUUGUUGAAUUGGAUAGCAUCAUGAUUAGGCCAACGAAUGAAUAGGUGAAAGAAGGUUCGGGUAGGCACAGAUUUAAGAAUAAGUUAUUUUGCUCGUUGAAUUAUUGAAUGCUUGAAAUGCGUGUUGAAUGGUUUGGUUUUAUUGCUUUUGGAUCGAAUGUAUCAUUUAGUUGGGGAAUGCCCCGAGAGACAUUGUAUUUAUUCACCGGGGAAUGCUCCGACAUACUAUGUUGGCGAAAGACGUUCGUGAGGAAGGCCCGAGGCAUCGGGUAAAGUACGGGAGCGUAGUUAGAAUUAGUAUAGGUUAGAUAGGAUUUAUUUUCGCAUUUUUUAUUUUGGACUGUAUAAAUUGGAUUGGACACUAUAUUUUGAUUCGUUUUGUUUUGUCUGUUUGUUGCUUA